AUCGAGACUAGAGUCACAUCCUGGCAUUUUGCAUUGUCUUGGUGUGCUAUAGUCCUCGGAGAAUGAGUACUGGUCUGUAUUCACUGCUUGUGGUGUCUCGUGCCUUAGUCAGUCACUUGAUCAGUAACAGUU
ensembl:snoRNA small nucleolar RNA SNORA3/SNORA45 family